rnacentral:lncRNA from 1 species
GCCUGUCCCAAGUCAGGAGCCUGUAAUUCAGUGGUUGUCGUUUGUUUAUGUGUUACAUAUUUGUUUUUCGUUCAUUUGUUUUUUUUUUUUACAUUAAUAAGGCCUUAAGUUUUCUCGUUUGAAUUGUUUUACAUUGUCUAAUCGGGGCCUUUUAUAGCUGACUAUGCGGUAUGGGCUUUGUUCAUUGUUGAAAGCCUUAAGGUGACUUAUAGUUGUUAAUGUCUGUGUCAUUUUGGUCUUUUGUGGAUAGUUGUCUCAUUGCAAUCAUACCACAUCAUUGGCAAUCAUACCACAUCUUCUUUUUUAUAUAUAAUUUACACCUUAACAGUAUAUUAUACAAUGAUGAUUGUGGCAAAG